AACGAACGCUGGCGGCAUGCCUAAUACAUGCAAGUCGAACGAGACCUUCGGGUCUAGUGGCGCACGGGUGCGUAACGCGUGGGAAUCUGCCCUUGGGUUCGGAAUAACUCGCCGAAAGGCGUGCUAAUACCGGAUGAUGUCGUAAGACCAAAGAUUUAUCGCCCAGGGAUGAGCCCGCGUAAGAUUAGUUAGUUGGUGAGGCAAUGGCUCACCAAGGCGACGAUCAGUAGCUGGUCCGAGAGGAUGAUCAGCCACACUGGGACUGAGACACGGCCCAG
rnacentral:rRNA from 1 species